rnacentral:lncRNA from 1 species
CGAAAUAAGGAAAUUCAUAUAAUAUUGUUAUAAAACAAGAAUUUAAAACGACACAAGGUUAAGACUUGUAAAGUAAUUAACACCUCAGGGAUCUAGUCUCAACAGGUACAAGAGCUACUAAGAGUACAAAGUAAGACAUAAUAAUGAAAAGACACAGCUUCCAUCAUGUAGAAGGAAAAGUAGAAGCUGCUGGAGAUUUGCCUUCGUCUUCACCUAUGAAACAUCACUGAUCCUGCAAUCAGACUAUGCCCAAAAGGCAUAGUAAGAGUAGUAUCAGUACAAUCACACGUACUGGUAAGCAUCAUCGGUCAACCCGAAUACCCACCGCAUAAUAUAGGAAAUCAACUGGCGAAAUAUGCAAUAAGACUAAUCACUCCUCCACCUUUAUAUUUUGACCGCCCUUACCCUUCCAAAUAUUAAUAUCAUACUAGUUCACUUGCCUCUAACCCCUCACUUACUUCUUUCGUGAUUACACCUAAUCAAUUAAUCCCUUAAUGAAGUCCCUAAAAUAUUACUACCAACUCGGCCAACCACUCACGACACAGCCUUACGUUUUACUCGUCUCUACUCAACUUAUGACCCCGCGAUACGCCUAUAGAGGAUAACUAUUCGUUUAUAUUUACCAUUCACAAUUCAUUACACCACUCGAUAUGUCCAAUAACUUACGACAUCGCAAUCCCCACAUAUAAGAACAUAAUGUACAAUCCACUAAUCAUUUGAGGAAACAUGCCCAACUCCACAUUAUCAGUACUACAAGCAAUUACACAUAUAUGGCAUGUCUAUGGUCCUCUCAUGGAACUCACAUCCAAACUGUUAGUGUACUGGUACAUGGCACCCGUUCCAAGUUAGUGUGUCGGAUCAUGACACCCGUUCCAAUGUUUAUGCCAGUACGUGGCAACCGAUCACAGUAAGUUUGUCGAAGCGCAACACCCGAUCCAUUCAACAAGCCACAAUCACAAUCGCAAGUAUAUUAUCAUAAUCUUACAAUUAAGUCAUGAAUCAUGGCAUUCAAUUAUUCGUCUAUCCAUAUUUACGAAUAUUGUUAUCAAUAAUGUAACAUUCGCAUACAUACAUGUAUCAUAAUAAAGCAAGAACAAACAUAUAUCACACAACAUGAAAUCACGACCAUCAGCUCGCCCUAGUUCAUAGUCUAAGGCUUCCUCCUACGAUUUAGUCAUAUUUUCUUCGGUACACGAAGGCCUACGCAUAAAUCCUAUCAUUGAUUAACAUUACUACGCAGUGAGCACAAGUUUAUAACUACUCAAAUAAUAAACCUAACCUACCUGGGAGCCAAUCAGCUGCAUAGAGUUAAAAUUCCAAUUCUCGUUUCCGGACGACAUGACGGUGAAUUUGGUCAAGAAUCUGCAUGUUUUCGACCUCGUUAUGCUAGAAAUAUUUUUCUCCUCCCUUCCUAAGCUUAGAGCAGCUUUUGGAGGGUUUCUGGGGUGAUUUACGUGUAAAUUAGGUGUUUUGGGGAAAAGGAGAAAAUUAGACUUCGCGUUAUUUACAUUCUGUCUCGCCUAUCUCGCUCUGCCGGCUACUUACCCCAAUGUGGCACUUCCCCCCUAGCGGCAUCUGGCCCGAACUUGCGGGACAGUGGCCCCAACAUUUACCCAAAGUUUUGCUUUUCCAAAAUAAUGACAGUUCAAGUCGUUACAAUAGAUACCAAUUUACCCCUCGUUCGUCCACG